GUAGGUGGCAAGCGUUGUCCGGAAUUAUUGGGCGUAAAGCGCGCGCAGGCGGUUCUUUAAGUCUGAUGUGAAAGCCCACGGCUCAACCGUGGAGGGUCAUUGGAAACUGGAGAACUUGAGUACAGAAGAGGAAAGCGGAAUUCCACGUGUAGCGGUGAAAUGCGUAGAGAUGUGGAGGAACACCAGUGGCGAAGGCGGCUUUCUGGUCUGUAACUGACGCUGAGGCGCGAAAGCGUGGGGAGCAAACAGGGAUUAGGUACCCCGGUAGUCCACGCCGUAAACGAUGAGUGCUAAGUGUUAGGGGGUUUCCCGCCCCCCUUAGUGCUGCAGCUAACGCAUUAAGCACUCCGCCUGGGGAGUACGGCCGCAAGGCUG
rnacentral:rRNA from 1 species